rnacentral:rRNA from 1 species
AGAGUUUGAUCAUGGCUCAGGACGAACGCUGGCGGCGUGCCUAACACAUGCAAGUCGAACGAGGUCCAUCCGGUGGCAACACCGGGGAAGACCUAGUGGCGAACGGGUGAGUAACACGUGAGAAACCUGCCCCGAAGACCGGGAUAACCCUCCGAAAGGAGAGCUAAUACCGGAUACCCCCACCGGAUCGCAUGAUCUGGUGAGGAAAUGGAUUCCGCUUCGGGAGGGUCUCGCGGCCUAUCAGCUUGUUGGUGGGGUAAUGGCCCACCAAGGCUUCGACGGGUAGCUGGUCUGAGAGGACGAUCAGCCACACUGGGACUGAGACACGGCCCAGACUCCUACGGGAGGCAGCAGUGGGGAAUCUUGCGCAAUGGGCGAAAGCCUGACGCAGCAACGCCGCGUGGGGGAUGAAGGCUCUCGGGUUGUAAACCCCUUUCAGCAGGGACGAAACUGACGGUACCUGCAGAAGAAGCCCCGGCCAACUACGUGCCAGCAGCCGCGGUAACACGUAGGGGGCAAGCGUUGUCCGGAUUUAUUGGGCGUAAAGAGCUCGUAGGCGGCUUAGUAAGUCGGGUGUGAAACCUCCAGGCUCAACCUGGAGACGCCACCCGAUACUGCUGUGGCUUGAGUCCGGUAGGGGAGCGUGGAAUUCCUGGUGUAGCGGUGAAAUGCGCAGAUAUCAGGAGGAACACCAGCGGCGAAGGGCGCUCUGGGCCGGAACUGACGCUGAGGAGCGAAAGCGUGGGUAGCAAACAGGAUUAGAUACCCUAGUAGUCC